CAAGGCCAUUCAAGUUUCACUGCGGAGACAAGCUACACAUUAACCUAAAAAGCACAACUGAGCUUGAAUCAGGCGACAAGUCGCGUUACACAUUCAGUUCAACAGAAAUUGAAGUGGUCUCUUUAUCCUCUUAAGAGACAUGCACGCGGGGAGACUAAUGAUUCGGAUUUGUGUUAUUACAGAAAUGUAUUAAUAUUAACUUGAGACUUUCGCGCGCCGCUGUAUGCAUGGGGUACCAAGAGUAUUUGUAUUUUUGAGCCCUGUUUUAUUUACGCUUGGAAAUCGGACCACUCCUGCUGCCCUUAUUUGCCGGCUGUGGACUAUUCUGUCUUUGAAAGAUUGCGUUUUUUCAGUUUUAAAGGGAAAAUGGGUUGUUGCACAGGUCGAUGCACGCUGAUCUUUCUAUGCACUUUACAGCUGCUUGCUUCAUUAGAGCGGCAAAUCUUUGAUUUCCUUGGUUACCAAUGGGCUCCAAUCCUUGGAAACUUUCUUCACAUAAUAGUUGUCAUUCUGGGCCUCUUUGGAACUAUUCAGUAUCGGUCCAAAUAUAUCAUUGUGUACUCCAUUUGGACUGCCCUCUGGGUUGCCUGGAAUGUGUUCAUCAUCUGCUUUUAUUUGGAAGUAGGAGGGCUCUCUAAGGACACGGACUACAUGACUUUCAACAUCUCCAUGCACCGCUCCUGGUGGCGGGAGCACGGGCCCGGCUGCGUGCGGAGGGAAGUCCCGCCCCCCACCACCCGAGGCCUGGAAGACCACUCCUACAUCUCUGUCACGGGCUGCAUGGUGGAGUUUCAGUACCUGGAGGUGAUGCACUCCUCCCUUCAGAUACUGCUGGCUCUGGUUGGCUUUGUGUAUGCCUGCUACGUGAUCAGUGUGUUCACAGAGGAAGAGGACAGCUGUAAGUACUGACACCCCCCCCCCCUCCGGUCGCGUCUCUGGAGCUCUCCAGGUUGAUUUUAUAGGUGGACUUGAUUCAUACACCUACCACCAUUCACCCCAGAAAACCUCCCAUGUCCAAUUAAAGCCGGUUUAUCUAUCCACGUAAAUGAGAAGCAGUUGCCAGUGAACCGGAGACACCAAAAACGUGAAGAGAUGUGCUGUGUGCCACACAGUGCAGUGUGCGUGAAGCAGCUGGACCCAUACAUCUGCGAGUGUGUGAGCUGUGUGUUAGGGUGUGUGAGUGUUCACACAUCAUCGACCUUCGACCAAAUUGAUCACUAGGCAGCCCUCUGUAAAAAAAAAUGUAAAAAAAAAAAAAAAAAAAAUGAUGUACACAUUUUUUUAAUGAAUCAAUUGUUUUUUCUGAGCCUGUAAACCAUGAACUGUGGUAUGUGGGGCCAGUCGGCUAUGUGUGAUUCAGAACUGAUCUUUUUUGCCCAUCCUCUUUGUGUUAUGACAUAUUUCCAAAAAUAGAUGAGGCACUUGUGAUGCGCAUGUAUUUUCAGUGGUAGAAUUAAAUUUUCAAAUUCAUAUCUGAGGGACAUAACACUUAAUAUUUAACAAUUCACUCUUAAAUUGGCUUGCUUUUAUAAUUGUGUGUCUCUUGUACAAAGUUUUAAUAUGUUCAUUUUGGUAAUGUACUUAUAUGUUACUUUUUAGUCUUAUAAUUUGUAAUACAUAAUGUGUAUGCUGUGCUUUGAAUCACAAAAAAGUAUCUUUAAUUGCAAGGGUCCAAGUCUUUUUUGAACAACAGAAACUGCGCUUUUGAUCUUGUUCCAAACUGCGACUACAAAUUGACUAAAAACUUGAAGCAAGGAAGGUUCUCUCACAAAGAUUCAGUAAUUCCCUCAAAUGUUACCAGAUGCAAAUCCUAGUUCUCAAUUCUUUGUAAAAUUUUACUGUAUGUACACUUAUGUAUAUAAGAAUAUUAUACAGCACAUAUACAGACAGAUUUAAACUUUGUGACAUGUUCAGAAUUUCUGUUGUGUGUAAAAGUUUUUUGCAUUUACUGAAUGACAAUUCAUACCGAAUGUUAACUAACUAUGGUCUAAGGUUACUGUUAAGGUACCUUUGCAUACUUGUUAUCUACUGUGAAUAUCAUUCCAUUUCAGUUAAUAUUCUCCCACACAACACAAACUUAAAAGCUUUGAGGUUGAACUAUACAGAGGAGGUAAGAUCAAGUAGUUUUGUUGAGUGACUUUGUAUUAAGUAGACUGUGUCUACUCAGAAUUUGCAAUGGUGUAUGUGGCACAUUUGUGAUGUAUUGUCUGUUUUUAAUACUUUUUUCAUACCGGAUAGUGAUAAAGCACAUGUUCUGAGACAUUUGAAAUAGUGCCUUUUAUAUCUAGUUUCACCUUAUACUUCACAUUUGAGAGAGUUAAGUUUGUGUUAAUAUUGUGAGUAUUCAUGUUCAUUUUCAGUGCAGUAAGGGGGCAUUUAGAGCCAAAUAUGUAUUAGGUGUCGGUAUGUUGAUAAUGUGUAAUGUGAACACGUUUGUAUAUCAUCAGCAAAACUAGACCACAGAAUGGUAAAAUGUAUUGCCCUGUCCUUGACAUUGGAACAGACUGGCAUUUAGGGGCACAAAGAAAAUGAUCUGGUGGAAGAAAUCAUAUCAGCCCUAUAGCCCGUUCCUGCAGCCAGGUUGGGAAGGUUGUAAUAGAGGGGCUAUAUUGCCAUCUGCUGGGAAUAUACAGAAAUGUAAUGUAUAUGUGUGUGUCAAACUGGAAAUCAUAUGCAGUGUGCAGGAGCAGACCUGAGAUUCACAACUAAUUUAAAACUGAUUCAAAAGCGCGAUGUGAGUGAGAAAGUAGGCAAUCUGUGUUUAGUCGAUUAUCUUGUAUUUUGACUUCCUCAAAGUGACUUGGAUCUUGAGUGGGGCUUUGUCACAUAACAAAUGUUUAAUUUAAGCAUAUACUUUGUACAAAAACAUGUUCUGAUAUAAACAUUUUUCCAUCACAGAACAAAUGCUUCAUUAAGGCUUUGUACAAAACAUUUUUGAUGUAAAAUACUAUCAGAUGCAUGCACAGAUUGUUUUUUUUUUAUUUUUGUGAUUGCUGUGUUUAUCCUUUUUAAAAACCCGACCUUUGGGUAGGUAGAUAAAACCUGAAUGAAGGUUGUAUAUACUAAUCUGCGUUACUUGUGCCAUUUGCAAUGUAAAGCUGAAAACAUGAAAUGUUAGUUGUGUGUAAUCUUUCCACACUCAACAGCCCCCAGUAGCAUUUUGAGUUCUUUGAUAUACUGGAUGGAUAGCCAGUUGGCAUCUAGGUUAUUGGCACUGUUCCUAUUGUUUAUGAAACAAGGACAACCCUCCUCCUUAUAGGCUAUUGUCCAUGCUACAGCAACUGCCAGGUUAAUAAAACUUGCAAUAAAAGAAUGUUUAUUCUUCUUUUGAAAAUAUAAACAAAUACUAAUUCAGGCAUUGCGUGGAGGUUUUAGUCUGUGGAUGUUUUGUCUGUGUGUGUGGGUGGGUCUGUAUGUACGAGUGUGUGUAUAGAACAGUACAACUUUUUGCACAUUUAAUUUUUACCUUGUGUAAAAUCUACCUUCUUUUGUGAUCGGACGAGUAUUACGGAUAGGAACACAAUGUUAAAAGACAACAGCUACAACAAGAAAAAACUCAAGGUAGACCUUUGCCUUGAUAUCAUGUGAACAUUAGUGUUAAUAACCAGACAUUUCUUGUCAGUUAUUAAUAAACUGUAAAUUGGAGUAACAA